rnacentral:rRNA from 1 species
UGAAUACGAGAUGCUACGGCGUCGAAGCAGUCUAUGUCAUACUUCCAAGAAAAGCUUGCACUGUCAUAAACAAAUAAUGCCUGUACCAUAACCGACACAGGUGGGUAGGUAGAGUAUACUAAGGGGCGCGAGAUAACUCUCUCUAAGGAACUCGGCAAAAUGACUCCGUAACUUCGGGAGAAGGAGUGCCUUAUUUAUAAGGUUGCAAUAACAAGAUCCAAGCAACUGUUUACCAAAAACACAGGUCUCCGCUAAGUCGUAAGACGAUGUAUGGGGGCUGACGCCUGCCCAGUGCCAGAAGGUUAAAGAAGUUGGUUAGCAUCCGCGAAGCUGAUAACUGAAGCCCUGGUGAACGGCGGCCGUAACAAUAACGGUCCUAAGGUAGCGAAAUUCCUUGUCGGGUAAGUUCCGACCCGCACGAAAGGCGUAAUGAUAUGGAUACUGUCUCGGAGAGGGGCUCGGUGAAAUAGACUUGUCUGUGAAGAUGCGGACUACCUGCACCAGGACAGAAAGACCCUAUGAAGCUUUACUGUAACCUGAAAUUGAAAUUGGACUUUACUUGCGCAGUAUAGGUGGGAGGCGUUGAGAAUAUUCUUGCGGGAUUAUUGGAGCCAUCAGUGAGAUACCACUCUUGUAAUGUUAGAUUUCUAACUUUGUAUCAUUAUCUGGUCAAAGAACAGUUUCAGGCGGGCAGUUUGACUGGGGCGGUCGCCUCCUAAACGGUAACGGAGGCGCACAAAGGUUUCCUCUGAACGGGUAGAAAUCGUAUCUAGAGUGUAAAGGCAUAAGGAAGCUUGACUGUGAGACCUACAAGUCGAGCAGGGACGAAAGUCGGUCUUAGUGAUCUGACGGUGCUGAGUGGAAAGGCCGUCACUCAACGGAUAAAAGUUACUCUAAGGAUAACAGGCUGAUCUCCCCCAAGAGUUCACAUCGACGGGGAGGUUUGGCACCUCGAUGUCGGCUCAUCGCAUCCUGGGGCGGUAGUACGUCCCAAGGGUUGGGCUGUUCGCCCAUGAAAGCGGUACGCGAGCUGGGUUCAGAACGUCGUGAGACAGUUCGGUCCAUAUCCGGUGUAGGCGUUAGAAUAUUGAGAGGAGCCUUCUUUAGUACGAGAGGACCGAGAAGGACAUACCUCUGGUGUACCAGUUAUCGUGCCAACGGUAAACGCUGGGUAGCUAUGUGUGGAGUGGAUAACCGCUGAAAGCAUCUAAGUGGGAAGCCCACCUCAAGGUAAG